rnacentral:rRNA from 1 species
AACGCUGGCGGCGUGCCUAAUACAUGCAAGUCGAACGGUCUUUCUAUGGAAGCUUGCUUCCACUGAGAAGAUAGUGGCGAACGGGUGAGUAACACGUGGGUAACCUGCCCAUAAGAGGGGGAUAACAUCCGGAAACGGGUGCUAAUACCGCAUAGUUUUCUUGAUCGCAUGAUUGAGAAAGGAAAGACGGCCUUUGUGCUGUCGCUUAUGGAUGGACCCGCGGCGUAUUAGUUAGUUGGUGAGGUAACGGCUCACCAAGACGAUGAUACGUAGCCGACCUGAGAGGGUGAUCGGCCACAUUGGGACUGAGACACGGCCCAAACUCCUACGGGAGGCAGCAGUAGGGAAUCUUCCGCAAUGGACGAAAGUCUGACGGAGCAACGCCGCGUGAGUGAAGGAGGUUUUCGGAUCGUAAAACUCUGUUGUCAGAGAAGAACAAGUUGGAGGGUAACUGCUCCAGCCUUGACGGUAUCUGACCAGAAAGCCACGGCUAACUACGUGCCAGCCGCCGC